GUGCUCGCUUCGGCACCACAUAUACUAAAAUUGGAGAGAUACAGAGAAGAUUAGCAUGGUCCCUGUGCAAGGAUGACACGCAAAUUUGUGAAGCAUUCCAUAUUUUU
rnacentral:snRNA from 1 species